rnacentral:rRNA from 1 species
UGCAAGGUGCUGCAUGGUUGUCGUCAGCUCGUGCCGUGAGGUGUCGGGUUAAGUCCCAUAACGAGCGCAACCCUUAUCGUUAGUUGCCAUCUGGUAAUGCAGGGACUCUAGCGAAACUGCCACGUAAGGUGAGAGGAAGUGGGGAUGACGUCAAAUCAGCACGGCCCUUAUGUCCAGGGCUACACACGUGUUACAAUGGUCGGUACAGAGGGCAGCUACCUGGUGACAGGAUGCUAAUCUCGAAAACCGGUCUCAGUUCGGAUCGAAGUCUGCAACUCGACUUCGUGAAGCUGGAUUCGCUAGUAAUCGCGGAUCAGCAUGCCGCGGUGAAUACGUUCCCGGGCCUU